GACGAACGCUGGCGGCGUGCUUAACACAUGCAAGUCGAGCGAUGAAUUUUCUUCGGAAAUGGAUUAGCGGCGAACGGGUGAGGAACACGUGAAGAAUCUGCCCUCCACUUUGGGAUAACACAGGGAAACCUGUGCUAAUACCGAAUAUUGAAACAUAAGUGGCAUCACUGAGUUUUGAAAGAAUUUCGGUGGAGGAUGACUUCGCGGCCUAUCAGCUAGUUGGUGAGGUAAUGGCUCACCAAGGCAACGACGGGUAGCCGGCCUGAGAGGGCGACCGGCCACACUGGGACUGAGACACGGCCCAGACUCCUACGGGAGGCAGCAGUGGGGAAUAUUGGGCAAUGGAGGAAACUCUGACCCAGCGACGCCGCGUGCGGGAUGAAGGCCUUCGGGUUGUAAACCGCUUUCAGUAGGGAAGAAGCGAAAGUGACGGUACCUACAAAAGAAGCACCGGCUAACUAUGUGCCAGCCGCCGCAGUAA
rnacentral:rRNA from 1 species